UUUAUGUUACACUGAUGCAAAUACUCAGAUUUGGACUUCUUUUCUCAUUACAAGAGGUUUGUACUGAAAGCAUUGUUGAUAUUGAAAAUAGUCAGUUGUAGUCAGGGUUCAAAUUAUCAUUUGAACACCAUACAAUUUUUCUUGCAACACAUUACCAAUACCAGCACAAUUCGAUUCUAUCCACUAUAAAUCUCAUGUUCUUGAUAGCCUACACUUGAAGUUUGAGCAGUAACAGUAAUAGUAGCAGUAACAACUCCACCAGAGAUUUUUGAGUAAAGCCCUUCUCUACAUGUGCUAGUGCUAGUGCUAAAAGCCCUUCUCUACAUGUUCUAUUGCUAGUGCUAAAGCCCUACUAGUUUGAUUGAAAUUCUGAAUUUUAUCUUUUUGUAAUUUCAUGUCAGAGCCCUUGUUGUCCUAACAUUCUAACUUGAACUGUUUUAUCUUUUUGUUUAUCAUCGGUAGUGGUAUAUGAUUACUUAAGGGCAUUAUUUUUACUCUUUACCGCGAUGUAGAUACGUCAAUGGAAACAUUGGGAAGAUUCUAUUAAGAAAGAUAAAUAUGAUCAAGACAAGGUUGUGAAUAAGAAGGUGACUCAUGUGCAUCAGCAUGCUUUUAUCAGGGAACAUUUUCUUGGAAUUGGGUUUUGUUUAACCAUUCUGAGUUGGCUGGGUCAUAAUGUUGUGUUGAUCUCCAACCAUCAGACAAAAGCUGAACCAAUGAUAAUUACCUUGUUACUUGAGACAUCACACCCUCAUGUUGUUGAGAAGAUGGUACGCUACUUUGUUGUUUGUUUUAUUUUAGGCCACCGAAUGAAAAGACAAUCUUGAUUGUUCUUAUUGACUAAAUAUUGUGCUUUGUACCACAGACCUAUGUUGCUGGAGAUAGGGUUGUGAUGGAUCCUGUUUGCAAGCCCUUCAGCAUGGGAAGGUGCUCAUGAAGCUUAGUGAUUUGCAGUGGAGAAAUACAUAUCUUGUGAUUUGACUAUAUUUAUUGAACUCUCACAAUGUUUAUUACUGCAUACUGUUUUGUGCCAAAAAUCUUGUCUGUGUAUACUCAAAGAAGCAGAUGCAUGACAUUCCUGAGCUUGCUAAGAUGAAAAAGAAAGCCAAUACCCUGAGUCUUAAGGAAAUGGCUCUACUUUUAUGGAUGAUAGUGUUAAAUGGAGAGCAUUGCAAGUUAUUUCAAGUUCACUUAGUAUUCACUUAUUAUUGCAACGGACCCUUUGGCAGGGGAAACUACUCUUAUACAACUGAUUUUCGGGGCUUACCUUCGAUCUAAGAUAAAGUGCAUGAAGUGCCAAGGCAAGUCUGAGAAGCAUGAACUGAUGAUGGAUCUAACUAUUGAGAUACAUGGGGAUAUUGGAACUCUUGAAGAAGCACUUGUACAAUUUACGGCUAC